AUACGGAUGGUGCGAGCGUUGUUCGGAAUUACUGGGCGUAAAGGGCGCGUAGGCGGCGAUGUAAGUCAAAUGUGAAAGUCCUCGGCUUAACCGGGGAAGUGCAUCUGAAACUGCAUUGCUUGAGUAUGGGAGAGGAAAGUGGAAUUCCCGGUGUAGAGGUGAAAUUCGUAGAGAUCGGGAGGAAUACCGGUGGCGAAGGCGACUUUCUGGACCAAUACUGACGCUGAGGCGCGAAAGCGUGGGGAGCAAACAGUAUUAGAUACCCUAGUAGUCC
rnacentral:rRNA from 1 species